ACAAUGGGGGCAACCCUGAUCCAGCCAUGCCGCGUGAGUGAGAAGGCCUUCGGGUUGUAAAGCUCUUUCGGUAGGAACGAAACGGUUACGGUUAAUACCUGUGACUAAUGACGGUACUUACAGAAGAAGCACCGGCUAACUACGUGCCAGCAGCCGCGGUAAUACGUAGGGUGCGAGCGUUAAUCGGAAUUACUGGGCGUAAAGGGUGCGCAGGCGGUCUCGUAAGCUGGGUGUGAAAGCCCCGGGCUUAACCUGGGAAUGGCAUUCAGGACUGCGAGGCUUUGAGUGUGGCAGAGGGAGGUGGAAUUCCACGUGUAGCACUGAAAUGCGUAGAGAUGUGGAGGAACACCGAUGGCGAAGGCAGCCUCCUGGGCCAGCACUGACGCUCAUGCACGAAAGCGUGGGGAGCAAACAGGAUUAGAUACCCUGGUAGUCCACGCCCUAAACGAUGUCAACUGGUUGUUGGUGGGGUUAAACCCAUUAGUAACGAAGCUAACGCGUGAAGUUGACCGCCUGGGGAGUACG
rnacentral:rRNA from 1 species